rnacentral:rRNA from 1 species
UGUAGCAAUACAAGGCAGACGGCUCAGUAACGCGUAGUCAACCUACCCUAUGGACGGGGAUAACCUCGGGAAACUGAGAAUAAUACCCGAUAGAACAUUAUACCUGGAAUGGUUUAUGUUUCAAAUAAUUUAUUGCCGUAGGAUGGGACUGCGGCCUAUCAGUUUGUUGGUGAGGUAAUGGCCCACCAAGACUAUUACAGGUACGGGCUCUGAGAGGAGUAGCCCGGAGAUGGGUACUGAGACACGGACCCAGGCCCUAUGGGGCGCAGCAGGCGAGAAAACUUUGCAAUGUGCGAAAGCACGACAAGGUUAAUCCGAGUGGUUUCUGCUAAAGGAACCUUUUGUCAGUCCUAGAAACACUGGUGAAUAAGGGGUGGGCAAGUUCUGGUGUCAGCCGCCGCGGUAAAACCAGCACCUCAAGUGGUCAGGAUGAUUAUUGGGCCUAAAGCAUCCGUAGCCUGCUUUGUAAGUUUUCGGUUAAAUCCAUACGCUCAACGUAUGGGCUGCCGGGAAUACUGCAAAGCUAGGGAGUGGGAGAGGUAGACGGUACUCGGUAGGAAGGGGUAAAAUCCUUUGAUCUAUUGAUGACCACCUGUGGCGAAGGCGGUCUACCAGAACACGUCCGACGGUGAGGGAUGAAAGCUGGGGGAGCAAACCGGAUUAGAUACCCGGGUAGUCCCAGCUGUAAACUAUGCAAACUCAGUGAUGCAUUGGCUUGAUGCCAAUGCAGUGCUGCAGGGAAGCCGUUAAGUUUGCCGCCUGGGAAGUACGUACGCAAGUAUGAAACUUAAAGGAAUUGGCGGGGGAGCACCACAAGGGGUGAAGCCUGCGGUUCAAUUGGA